GAUGAACGCUGGCGGCGUGCCUAAUACAUGCAAGUCGAGCGAACGGACGAGAAGCUUGCUUCUCUGAUGUUAGCGGCGGACGGGUGAGUAACACGUGGAUAACCUACCUAUAAGACUGGGAUAACUUUGGGAAACCGGAGCUAAUACCGGAUAAUAUUUUGAACCGCAUGGUUCAAAAGUGAAAGACGGUCUUGCUGUCACUUAUAGAUGGAUCCGCGCUGCAUUAGCUAGUUGGUAAGGUAACGGCUUACCAAGGCAACGAUGCAUAGCCGACCUGAGAGGGUGGUUGGCCACACUGGAAGUGAGGCACGGUACACACUCCGGCGGGAGGCAGCAGUACGGAAUCUUCCGCGAUGGAGGAGAGCCUGACAGAGCAACGCCGCGUGAAGGAUGAAGGUGUUCGGAUCGGAAAACUCUGUUAUUAGGGAAGAAGAUAUGUGUAAGUAACUGUGCACAUCUUGACGGUACCUAAUCAGAAAGCCACGGCUAACUACGUG
rnacentral:rRNA from 1 species